UACGUAGGGGGCGAGCGUUGUCCGGAAUCAUUGGGCGUAAAGCGCGUGUAGGCGGUCCGGUAAGUCCGCUGUGAAAGUCGGGGGCUCAACCCUCGGAUGCCGGUGGAUACUGUCGGGCUUGAGUACGGAAGAGGCGAGUGGAAUUCCUGGUGUAGCGGUGAGAUGCGCAGAUAUCAGGAGGAACACCAAUUGCGAAGGCAGCUCGCUGGGACGUUACUGACGCUGAGACGCGAAAGCGUGGGGAGCAAACAGG
rnacentral:rRNA from 1 species